AUGCAGGGCAGGGAUUUCUCUAAGCUGCCCCUGGGAAAAGGCUGGGACCCACUCAACAAGGUUAUAGAAGGAGACCAAGGCUCUUUUUUUAAAAAUGUGUUUAUUUAUUUUACAGGCAGAGUUUUGGAUAAAGAGAGAGGUCUUCCCUCUGCUGGUUCACUCCCCAAAUGGCUGCAACAGCCAGAGUUGAACUACUUCGAAGCCAGGAGUUCCUUCCAGGUCUCCCACGUGGGUGCAGGGUCCCAAGGACUUGGGCCAUCCUCCACUGCUUUCCCAGGUCAUAGCAGAGAGCUGGAUCAGAAGAGGAGCAGUCGGGACACAACCGGUGCCCAAAUGGGAUGCGGCGCUGCAGGUGAAGGCUCAGCUGCUGCGCCACAGCACUGGCCCCACCUGAAACUAAGACUUUUGAGAUGUAAAUACUGCUCUGCUUCCCAGGCUUGCUUCUGUGGUUCUUCCCUCACCCAGCCACACAAAUUCCCAUUUCUUCCCUCUCACAGAUGCAGGCUGCCUAACAGACCUGUCAGGGCAGGGGGCCAAUGCAGCAGGUGCCUGCCUGUAGGGCCUCAAGAGUGUUGGCCACAAGGGCGGCCAAGGGGAUGGGACCAGUCACCUUUCAGCUGGGAAUCCAGAAACUCUGCUUCCUGGGACCAAAGUGACCUGUCUGCAAGGCCUGGGGGAAGGCGCUGGGAAGGGAGGUGUGUCACCCCCCCCCAGACCUCCCAGGCAGGUCCUGUGACUAAGAGUCAGCCCUGUUGGGUCAAACCCCCCCCUUUCAGGUCAAGUUUGUGGGAGCAGCUUGGGAAGCCCAGCGAUGAGGGUGGGCUGGUUGGAUGGGGGUUAGGCAGAUGCACAGGUGGCCAGGCCACAGGAGUAACGGGAUCCUGCCCAGCGAAGCCAGCCAGGCUCCCGUGCCAGGAGCAGCCUUGGAGAGGCUGGUCCAUGAUCCCUGCCGCUGUGAGCCUUGGGAAAGUGUCCCUGGGCCUGCUGGCCCCUCUGCCCCAACACAGGGUCGGGAGUCCCGCCAGUGAGGGGCGUGCUGGGCAGAGGCUUCGGCCUGCGGCAGGUGCCAGCCAAGCGUGA
rnacentral:lncRNA from 1 species